AAAAGUUUAUAACAAUAGAAGGUGAAAUUGGUUUAUUGGGGGUAAAUAGAAGUUGAAUAUUAAAGGAGAAGAAGCUUAAAAAUUAAGAUAUAAACCAGGAUUAGAUACCCUGUUAUACUUGAAGGGGAAAGAUAAAAACUUGAAUAUUAGUAGUUAUGGGCUUUAAAUUCAAAGAAUUUGGCGGUAUUUUAGUCUUGUUAGAGGAACCUGUUCUGUAAACGAUACAACACAAAAAAUCUUACUUACUUUUGUUUAACAGUUUGUAUACCGUCAUUAUUAGAUUACCUUCGUAGAGAAAGUUAUUGAAAUUAAAAAAGUUAAAGUAUAUUAAAUCAAGGUGCAGUUCAUAAGUAAAAAGAAAUGGGUUACAAUAAAAUUUAUUUAUACGUACCAGUAAUUGAAUAGUUUCUGUGAAGGAGGAUUUAAUUGUAACAUAUAAUUUAAUAAGUUAAUGUGAUAUAAGAACUAAAAUAUGUACAUAUCGCCCGUCGCUUCCAUUUAAGGUGAGAUA
rnacentral:rRNA from 1 species